GGUUCACUUUUUCUCAAGGCUGAGCCAUCACUUCAUCCCACCACCUCAACUCGAGUACAACUCCAUGGCAAAUUUGUGCUUCAAGCAACUUCUCUUCGCCAUGCUUCUCUUCUGCUUCCUCCUUCACCAGGAUCAUCUUGCCAACUUACUUGUUGGAGCUGACUCCAUUUUUGCUGGUGAUAUUGGUAAGGCUGCAGCUGCACGGGAACUAAACUCUAUUCUCUUUUUUUUUUCGGAAAAGGAAUGGAAAAGGGAAAUCUCCUAAACUCCAACUUUUUGUUAUGUAUACAAGUGAACGAUUGAAGU